rfam:Actinobacillus pleuropneumoniae L20 serotype 5b complete genome.
CCGUACUUAGACGGAUAGUGAUAGCUUAAGUUUCCGAAUUAUUACGGUAAAUUCAGCUAUUUCAGAUUUUUAAGUAUGAUGUUGUGUUUGCAUAUUGGUCUAGGAAACUAGACUGGAGUAACAUCAAGUUACUCGUUUCACUUCCUGUAUAUUUUGAACCUUUUUGGUUUAUAACCGUCCAUUUUGGACGGUUUUUUUC